GCAAAUCCUCAACUAUUUCAUCUAUGGAUUUUGCCUGAAACAUUUUUUUUUUUUUUUUUUUCAGAUAUCUGUAUUAGUGGGCCUCACAGUCUCCGUCGCAGCCCGACCCGAGACUCCUUCCUACUCUCCUGCUCACCCAGCCCCUUCGUACUCCCCGCCAAGCCCAUCCUACAAUGCGCCUGCCCAUCCUUCUCCUUCCUACAGUGCUCCCACAUACAAUAAUGUUGCAGCCCAAUACAACACCCAGUAUGCCGUAAACGACGAAUACUCAGGUAAUAACUAUGGACAUCAAGAGGAUCGCGAUGGCUACAAGACUCAGGGAACGUACUAUGUGCAGCUCCCCGACGGCCGUCUGCAGAAGGUCACCUAUUACGUCGAUGGCGAGUCUGGCUACGUGGCAGAAGUCACCUACGAAGGAGAAGCACAGUAUCCAGCUUAUCAGCCCGCUCCAUCAACUUCUUAUCAGCCCGCUCCUUCACCGUCUUACGCUUAAUUCAGAUGCUGUAUCCCGUAAACAUGGACAGAGGAAGCCAUAAUUUAUUUGUAAUAAAUAUCGUACCUGCUGCAUAAU
rnacentral:lncRNA from 1 species